AAGACUGGGGGGAGGAGGGAGAGCAAAGAAGGAGCUCUUAGGUGACUUCAGGGAUCGAGCAGGGACUGAGCCCAGAACCUAGCCAGACCAAGGGAGAGUACUGCAAUGGGCCCUGUCAGUCUGGUUAAAGACUGAGCCUGGAGGGAGUUGCCGAAAAAGAUACACCAAUGGAGGGUACUGCGAUGGGCCCUGUUGGACUGUUAUAGAGGACAGCGUCUCCAAGAAGGAAGCCUUGGCACAAGAUCACACCUGCUUUCAAGAGCUGACAUGUUUGAAUAUAGGACAUACACUGGGAUGUAGUCUAAAUCACAGUCCUUAUAAAGCCCCCAUCACUGUAGUAUCUGCACACCUCAUAGUCAUCGAUGAAGUUAUCGUCAUAAAAUCCUUGUGAAAUAGAAUCCACAUUUUACAGAACAGGAACAGAGAAACGAGGUGACUUGACCUACAUCACACAGGAAGUCUGGGAAUUUAACACAGAUAUCCAGAGUCCUAGGCCAAGGCCUUAACCACAAAGCCAGCCUCCCUAUUCUUAGAAGCUAUUCCCAUGU